GAAGGUGGACCUCUUGUUCUCUGUGUUCUCCUAAAUUCCACUCCCAGAUAACACAUGCAUCAAGGAAUGUCUGCUGAUUUCAAAAUUAGAGAGAUGGCUAUGUAACAACAAUGAACAUGUAGACAACAUUUCUGCUUUUUCUUUUGGGCCUAGAGUGGAUGAAAGAAUGAAACCAACAUGAAAGUUGGUCCAUCAGAAGUUUGAUUUAUAAUCUGAGUUUCUAAAAGAAUCCGACAACUCAACAAUCUCUUGGCCCAACUUCAGGAAACAGGCCAAUUGUUUAAGGUAAUGCACAGUGAAAAACAGGAUUAUCAGGAACAGUUCCUGCAUCUUCUGGAAAGUCUCUGCUGGCUACGCCCCUCCUUACCUUCACUGUCUAGCAGACUCUCAGGCACAGAUGGGAUACUCAUGGGGCAGAAUGAGGACUAGAGGAAAAGGAGAGCAGAGUAAAAUAACCUGAGGUUAAAAAUAAAAAAUAUCAGUGCUCGGAAUGGAACGUCAUAAUUCUGUCAGUCAUCCUGAUGAUCAUUCAUCUCUGCAGAAUAUAAGAGCGAAGUGAGAGCCUCUCUAAAGAAAACUGCCCUUUCAGUUUGGGGCCUCGGGGAAGAUCUUUGAUGCAUUCUUCUUCCUCGUUAUGCCUUCUCUUCAUUACAAAUAGCCUUUCAUGAAGCUUACAAGAAGGGACAUGAGCACAGGCACUCAGUCAGCAACGGGAAGGAUGCAGAUGGUAAAGAGUUGAAACUGAGUCACCAGCAAGAACUUUAGAAAUCGGCACCAAGGCGCAGAGCAAGACACUGGUGGGGUCAGGAUCGGGAUGUCUACAUUGGGCUACGUUUUAUGUUCUAUUUGUUGGAUUGCAAGUUACCAACACAACUACAUUCUAUAAUAAUACCUCUUCUCAGGGGCACUCCCAUUUUCCAAAGAGAAACAAAAAGAGAUGAAUUUUGGUAGAGAACAGUCAGGUUUGGGGGAGUCUAGCCAUUGGUUCUUGCCUAUAUUCGGGAUUCCUGUCUAGGAAGCAGAGCUCAAUGUUGUGGAAUACAGAUGUUUGAACUUGAGGUUGCGUCUCCUUUGAAUUGAGAUACGGGUUUUCCUUUGGUCAGAGAGAAGCCUGCUUUCUGCAACAUCUCUGGUCGGCCUUUGGGUUUUCUCUCUUCUUGCUACCCGCUCACAUACUAACCACAAGUUUCCAGCUGCUUACCUUGUGAAAUCUAAUGAGAGCACCACAGAGCAGGUCCCAUGGAUGACAGCCACCAUUAUCCAGAAAUAAACAAGACCUCCAGUUAAAUGAACCAUAUAAGGCUUAUUUUAAGAAAUGAAUCCUUGAAAACAUCAGCCCAGCGAUGAUAAAAAAGAAUUCUGCCUAGUUAGAGUUCUUUGCAGGAAAGGUUUUUGAUAUUGCUUUGGCUUUAGGGGAAAAAAACAAACCACGCUGGACUUUAUGGGGGUUACCUAAGUGCACAGUGAAACUGCAAAUUCAAACUGUUUGAAUCCUGUCCUCCAAAUACAGAGGUCUUAUGUGAAAACAAUCUCAUUUUCCUUUUGCUUUCUGGGAAGCCCUCCAAGGCAUGGUGAAUUGCCAGCUUUUGUGACCUUUAGUUUCUUAGCUGCUCCCAAGGGAAACUUGACCUUGGAACUGUAGAAAGGAGGGAAAUAAUUUUCAAGCUGGUGCAGGGCAGAGGCAGAAGUUUCGUUCUGUUUUCUCAUCGCCCAAAGCUUAUAGGUUCUCCAGCACCAAUAUCCUUAGAGCCUCUGAGGUCACAGAAAUGAGGACAAAAGUUGUGAUGAAGAUGUGUAUUAACCCCAAGGCAAGGACACAGACAACAAGACUGCCACAUGGGAUGGAGACUCAGGUGACCAACCAGGUGCAGUUCCCAGUAAAGCAUUAGGAGUAAGAAAAUGAUUAGUCCCCAUCCAGAUUCACAGCUGAUACAGGGCUUUCUGACUCAUAGCAUUUUAGGACUGAAAUGGAAUUCACAGGGCACAAGAAUUCCUCCUGUAACUUUAGUUGGCUUCUAUAGGUAUUGGGACUACAUCUAGGAUGGAUUCUCAACCUCCUUAGGUUUCCUACUAUUUGGCAACCGCUUGACUCGUGAGACAUUCAUCUGGUUACAGAGUUAACCAAGAGAGGACUUGUGUAUAUCAAGAGACACCACGGGGGCUCUGUAAGCCCUACUCACAUACACUGUCCCCCAGGCAUGGAAUAGAUUAGGGAACAGUGAUUUGUCACCAUUGAUUUCUCCGAGCAAGAAUUUCUUUGAGAUCUUACUUUGCUCGUGGACACGUGGGUUUAGAAGUUUUUGCCUUUGAGGCAGAUUUUAUAAACAACGUGUCUUCAUUUCCAGUACUCAAUGAAAAUCUAAUUAGAGUAACAACAUUACCAUACUGACUUGAUAGAAUCCCAGCCCAAAGCAGUCACUAUCUGAGUGGGUCUCUGUAGCCUGAGAACAGACUGUGUAGUCAUUCGGCACUUUUAAUUUCUGAAAAUAGCUGUGUGUCCCAUUCUUAUCAUUUGUAAGCCUUAGGAAUCCAGAGAACUGUUUGUGUAUUAGAAAAAAAGAGCAAAGAAUUUGGAGUCCCAAACCCUCUAGGACGUGCCAGCUGAGUGAUAUGGAGAAGGACACACCUUGAAUGAGUCUCAGGUUCCUUAUUUCAAAGGCUAUCAUCAGAAAAUGACAGGGCUCCUAUGAAGAUUAAAUAAAACCAUACUGGAAAGUUUUGACAUACUUAGCUUUCUCAAAGACAGAAAUUUGCAGAAGUAAACAUCAAAAAAAUCCUGGUAUAAUGCAUAAAAAAUUUGUUUGUAUGUCACAUUAAAAUCAAACAAACUAAACAAUGUUUGUGAACCAGGAGAGAAAAACAAUUUUCUCUUACAGUUUCAGAAAGGGAUAAAUGUGCUAACCUGUGGGCAAU